ACCUUUUCUCAUUCUUGGAUUCUUUUGUCCAAACAUAAGACACUCACAAUCAAAUAUCAGCAGUUUAUUUUGCAUCACUAUGAAGAUUUAUGGGUUUCUCUUCCUUGUCCUCUUCUUGAUGCUCUUUCCUGAUCCAGGAUACACCAGAGGGAUUAGGACUCGAUCUCAAUGCCAACGUCAAGGAGGCUUCUGUACUUUACGGUAUCAAAAUGUCUGUCCUUAUUCUUCGCCCCAAAUUGGAAAAUGCAGUGCUUCGUCAGUUUGCUGCAAACAGAGAUCUGGUUAAAACAAUGAGAUACUCAAUUUUCCAAGAAGACGAAGACGGCUCCUGAUUUAAUGCAAAUAUCUGUUCCUGCUUUGUAGUAACAUUAAGACUCCUGAGAAUGCUCCUGCGGAUCUUUUCUGAAAAAUAGAAAACAGAAAAAUAUCAGUUGCUUUUCCCAUCAUGUAAUAAAAUCGCAAUAUGCUGGC